GUGCUUGUUUCAGCAGCACAUACACUAAUUUUGGAACAAUACAGAGAAGAUUAGCAUGGCCCCUGUACAAGGAUGACGUGCAAUUUGCAAAACAUCAGGGCAAGAGUG